AUGAUGUGAGCGGGAAGUGCUUGCACUAAACAAUCUUUUCAUAACUUAGUGGCGGACGGGUGAGUAAUCCGUGGGUAACCUGCCCUGUACUGGGGGACAACAGUUGGAAACGACUGCUAAUACCGCAUAAGCGCACGGGAUCGCAUGAUCCAGUGUGAAAAACUCCGGUGGUACAGGAUGGACCCGCGUCUGAUUAGCUGGUUGGUGAGGUAACGGCCCACCAAGGCAACGAUCAGUAGCCGGCCUGAGAGGGUGAACGGCCACAUUGGGACUGAGACACGGCCCAAACUCCUACGGGAGGCAGCAGUGGGGAAUAUUGCACAAUGGGGGAAACCCUGAUGCAGCGACGCCGCGUGAGUGAAGAAGUAUUUCGGUAUGUAAAGCUCUAUCAGCAGGGAAGAAAAUGACGGUACCUGACUAAGAAGCCCCGGCUAACUACGUGCCAGCAGCCGCGGUAAUACGUAGGGGGCAAGCGUUAUCCGGAUUUACUGGGUGUAAAGGGAGCGUAGACGGCAUGGCAAGUCUGAAGUGAAAUGCGGGGGCUCAACCCCUGAACUGCUUUGGAAACUGUCAGGCUGGAGUGCAGGAGAGGUAAGUGGAAUUCCUAGUGUAGCGGUGAAAUGCGUAGAUAUUAGGAGGAACACCAGUGGCGAAGGCGGCUUACUGGACUGUAACUGACGUUGAGGCUCGAAAGCGUGGGGAGCAAACAGGAUUAGAUACCCUGGUAGUCCACGCCGUAAACGAUGAUUACUAGGUGUUGGGGAUUUAUAAAUCCCCGGUGCCGUCGCAAACGCAAUAAGUAAUCCACCUGGGGAGU
rnacentral:rRNA from 1 species